rnacentral:rRNA from 1 species
CGAAAGCAAAAAAUUAUGGCGGUAUUUUAAGCUUUUCAGAGGAAUUUGCUCUUUAAUGGAUAAAACACCUAAAUCUUACUUAAAUUAGUGCUUUUCAGUUUGUAUACCACUAUUAUAAUAAUAAUUUAUUAUUAUUAUUAAUAUUCUUGCAUUUAGAAGAAAAUUAAGUCAAGGUGCAGCAUAAAUUUAUGAAUGAAGUGAAUUACAUUUCUUUUUAGAAAAAAAAAAUUGAAAUAAGACGUUUAGGAUUUGAUAGUAAAAUUAAAAUACAAAGUUAAUUUGAAUUAGGCUCUAAAAUAUGUAC